UACGUAGGGGGCAAGCGUUGUCCGGAAUCAUUGGGCGUAAAGAGCGUGUAGGCGGCCAAGCAGGUCCGCUGUGAAAACUCGAGGCUCAACCUCGAGACGUCGGUGGAAACCGUUUGGCUAGAGUCCGGAAGAGGAGAGUGGAAUUCCCGGUGUAGCGGUGAAAUGCGCAGAUAUCGGGAAGAACACCCGUGGCGAAGGCGGUUCUCUGGGACGGUACUGACGCUGAGACGCGAAAGCGUGGGGAGCGAACAGG
rnacentral:rRNA from 1 species